rnacentral:rRNA from 1 species
UACGGGGGGGGCAAGCGUUGUUCGGAAUUACUGGGCGUAGAGGGCGCGUAGGCGGUUGGAUAAGUCAGCUGUGAAAACCACGGGCUUAACUCGUGGCCUGCAGUUGAGACUGUCUGGCUUGAGUGUGGGAGAGGAGAGUGGAAUUCCUGGUGUAGCGGUGAAAUGCGUAGAUAUCAGGAGGAACACCGGUGGCGAAGGCGGCUCUCUGGACCACAACUGACGCUGAGGCGCGAAAGCUAGGGGAGCAAACAGG